AAGACGAAGGUGCAACAAACACUGUGUAUGAACAAUAUCCAAUAGGACAGCAGUUGCUCUUGCAUCUGCUUCCAGUGUCUGCAAGUGUUGUAGUCCUUGGAUCUUCUCUGGAAGUUUAACUGUGAUAUUACCUGUUAUCUUCAGAUAUCUCAGUUGUAACAGUUCAGAAAUGCUUGUGAGGUCAUAGCUUGUUUUCUCUUGAUCAGCCCAAAAACAAAGAAUCAGAACUCGAAGAAGCCUAUAAUCUGCAAUGGAAGGCAUACACUUGACUUGUCCGAAAAAUGCCAUCGAUCGAACUUGUGAGAGUCUCAAACCUGCUAGUGGUGUUGUAUCAUGUGCAUUGCUGAAGUGAAGCGAGAGUCGGCGAACCUUGUCAGCAUGUCUUACUGUCGUCUGAGAAUGAUCCAAUGUAAUGCUGAAAUUCUCCUCUAUUGACUUACACCUGAUGAAAUUUAAUACCAUGUGGUGCACUACACAUGACAAUACCUCAUUUUUGCAGUUAACAUCUACUGGUUGGACCAGGCCCCUACCAACAAGUUCAUCAAAAUAGUUCCCUGCAACUUCUUCCAUGACUUUAUUUUCUAUGGAAUUGAUGAAACCUUCAGCCAUCCAUUGCCUCACCAAGUUGGCCUUCCUAAUUAUGUAGUCCUCUUUGUAGAUGCUAAGGUAUAACAGACAUGCUUUCAAACAAUGAGGAAGAUUAUUGUAAAUAAGGUUGAGUACUUGCCUCAUCCCCUGCAAAGUAGGAUUUUUCUUCAAAUUGGAAGUAGUCAAUGAUUUUUGUAUGUGAUUCCAUUGCUGCAUUCCAUCUAACAGCUGGCUUUUAAAAUGUCUGGCUGUUAUAGUUAUUGCUAGUGGCAAGCCACCACAUUUUUUUAUCAUGUCAUGAGAAACUUCAGUAAGAUGUCCAGGAAAUUCAUUUCCUUGGCCAACAACUCCACUGAAAAACAAUUGACUUGAGACAUCAUCACCCAGUGGAUCAAUCUUAAUAAUGUGCUCUGAGUUAUAUCCACAGCAUGCCAAAGCUACAGGUUCAAUUUCUGUUGUUAUUAGUAUUCUACUGCAACUAUUAUUAUCAGGCAAACCACGGCUAACAAUAUCCCACAUUGAUGAAGCCCAUAAAUCUUCAAUUAUGAUGAAGUACCUGCAGAACAUUUAGUACUUCUUUCAAGGAGUCGAUCAACCUCCCAAACAUCCGAAGACUGAUGCUGAUGUUGUGGCCGCAGCUGUGACAGCAUGUCGGUGAGGAUCUUCGUCAUGUCAGGCUUCCGGGGCGUCCGCACGAAAGCCCGGCAGUCGAACGGCGCAUCCAACCGCCGGCCAUGCAGACGAUAGAAUUCUGUGGCCAGCGUCGUCUUGCCAACACCUCCGGAUCCAACAAUGGAAGCCACCUUGAGCUUCGGCUCGCCGUC
rnacentral:sRNA from 1 species